UGGAUGCACGCGGGAAGCGCACUCAGGAAGAGUGGUUGUGUAAGGAUUGCGCCAAGGACGAUUCUCCCUUCAGGAUGAAGGACGUAGUUGCAGGGAAUGCGGUUAUAGCAGAUGGAAAGACCGGGACGUUGAGUGUGCGCAUGGAGCGCGUAGCAAGAAUACCCUUCGACUGAAGGUGUGAAAUAGGCGGCAGGUUUAACCUGCCGCCUUUUUUCUUU
rnacentral:sRNA from 1 species